rnacentral:rRNA from 1 species
GAUGAACGCUGGCGGCGUGCCUAAUACAUGCAAGUCGAGCGAACAGACGAGGAGCUUGCUCCUUUGACGUUAGCGGCGGACGGGUGAGUAACACGUAGGUAACCUACCUAUAAGACUGGGAUAACUUCGGGAAACCGGAGCUAAUACCGGAUAAUAUUUCGAACCGCAUGGUUCGAUAGUGAAAGAUGGCUUUGCUAUCACUUAUAGAUGGACCUGCGCCGUAUUAGCUAGUUGGUAAGGUAACGGCUUACCAAGGCAACGAUACGUAGCCGACCUGAGAGGGUGAUCGGCCACACUGGAACUGAGACACGGUCCAGACUCCUACGGGAGGCAGCAGUAGGGAAUCUUCCGCAAGGGGCGAAAGCCUGACGGAGCAACGCCGCGUGAGUGAUGAAGGUCUUCGGAUCGUAAAACUCUGUUAUUAGGGAAAAACAAACGUGUAAGUAACUGUGCACGUCUUGACGGUACCUAAUCAGAAAGCCACGGCUAACUACGUG